GCCGAAGUGGCGGAACUGGCAGACGCGUAGCACUCAAAAUGCUAUGGGAGUAAUCCCGUGAGAGUUCAAGUCUCUCCUUCGGCA
rnacentral:tRNA from 1 species